rnacentral:rRNA from 1 species
GUGCCAGCAGCCGCGGUAAGACAGAGGUGGCGAGCGUUGUUCGGAUUUAUUGGGCGUAAAGCGUACGCAGGCGGUUUGGUAAGUCAGAGGUGAAAGACCACAGCUUAACUGUGGCACUGCCUUUGAUACUGCCUUUCUAGAGUGCAUGAGGGGGAAGCGGAAUUCCGAGUGUAGAGGUGAAAUUCGUAGAUAUUCGGAGGAACACCGGUGGCGAAGGCGGCUUCCUGGCAUGUAACUGACGCUCAUGUACGAAAGCGUGGGUAGCAAACAGGAUUAGAUACCCGCGUAGUCC